AUUGAACGCUAGCGGGAUGCUUUACACAUGCAAGUCGAACGAGUGGCGGACGGGUGAGUAAUAUAUCGGACCGUGCCCAGUAGAGGGGGAUAACUACUCGAAAGAGUGGCUAAUAACGCAUAAUAUCGGAUCGGCCGAUAUAGGAGUAGCUAGUUGGUGGUGUAACGGCUCACCAAGGCAACGAUCCGUAGAUGGUUUGAGAGGACAACCAGCCAACCUGGGAAUGAGACACGGCCCAGACUCCUACGGGAGGCAGCAGUGGGGAAUUUUGGACAAUGGGGGAAACCCUGAUCCAGCCAUCCCGCGUGUAUGAGAAGGCCUUCGGGUUGUAAAGUACUUUUGGCAUAGAAGCGGUACCUGCAGAAUAAGCACCGGCUAACUACGUGCCAGCAGCCGCGGUAAUUC
rnacentral:rRNA from 1 species